rnacentral:rRNA from 1 species
UACGUAGGGCGCAAGCGUUGUCCGGAAUUAUUGGGCGUAAAGAGCUCGUAGGCGGUCUGUCGCGUCGGACGUGAAAAUCCAGGGCUCAACCCUGGACCUGCGUUUGAUACGGGCAGACUAGAGUUCGGUAGGGGAGACUGGAAUUCCUGGUGUAGCGGUGAAAUGCGCAGAUAUCAGGAGGAACACCGGUGGCGAAGGCGGGUCUCUGGGCCGAAACUGACGCUGAGGAGCGAAAGCGUGGGGAGCAAACAGG